rnacentral:snRNA from 1 species
UUGCUUUGAUAGCAUAUAUAUUGACAUUGGAAUAAUACAGAGAUAUUAGCAUGGCCUCUGUGCAAGGAUGGCUUGCAAAUUUGUGAAGCCAUAUUGAAAAAAACUUUU